UCCUACGGCUAGAAGUAACGCUACUGAUGGGGGAUUCCUGGGCUGCAAACACUUCUCCAAAUGUAAUGAAUUCUUAAUACAACAUAACAAGACCCCUAUUGACUGGAAUUGGCUCCCUACUCCCAAGAGCACUCCUAAAUAUUGGGAUCAGCUGCCUCGAGACAUUCUGUCUUAUACCCCGAAAUCGAAGGCCCCGAAUCGGCUGCCUAAAAUGCCUAAAAGCAAUUGUCAGCGGCCUCAGGACCGGGUUUGGUCUUUGAUUGACUGGCAUUCGCCGCCAAGUUCGUUGGUGAUUGAUUGGGAUUGGCUGCCUCUUUACCUGCCUCUUAACUUCGUUGGAUGGCCUACUGUCUGGGAUUGGCUGCCUGUUGACUGGAGUUGGCUGGAUAUUGACUUGAGUUUGCUGCCUACUGAGGAUGAGAUGCCAAACAAGUGUAUCAUUGAGUCAUCGGAUCCACUUUCGUUUAGGGACUGGAAUAGGGUUGGCCGUCCGUCCGUCCGUCCAUCCAUCUGACUGGCUGUAGACACAUUUUGUCCGGACAACUCCUAAACGGAUCGGUCGAUUCCAGUGAAUCUUCACACAAACAUUAAUGAUCAUGUGUAGAUGUACACGCCACUUUCUUUUUCACGAAAUUAUGGCUGCUAUAGCAAGUGGUCACUAUAAACAGGGUUUCCGAUAUGAACCAUAACUUUAAGAUUGUGCGGACAACUUCUCCUUAACCGAAGGGCCAAUUUCAAUGAAACUUCACACAAAUAUAGUGGACCAUGUGUAGAUGUGCAUGCCAUUUUCUUUUUCUCAAAAUUAUUGUUACUACGGCAACUGGUCACUGAAUUCUCUUUAUUGUGAACAACACACAUUUCAUUCUGAAUUUCAGAAAUAUCGACAUGCACGAGUUAUCUUAGUUAGCCUCUAGUUAUCGUAGCGCGUUAGAGAUUAAUUUAGCCUGGCACAUGUCAUGUGUUUAUGGCCCUAUAAUGAGGAAGUUUUGGUGUCUGACUGUCAGUCCGUCCAAUCCCGCAAAGUUUCCCGAACUCUUCUCAGCCGUGCUUCAAGGUAUGUUGGUGAAAGUUGUUAUGCAACUUAGUAAGAGUAGCUACAUGUCAACUUUCAAGGUUUUGGUGUUUCGAGGUCAAGAUCACUGUUAAUUUUUGGGUGUGGGUCAAAUAGGGACAUGUAUUACUCUAGCAAUACCCAUCAUGUUUGUUAUUAUUAUCAUUAGCCAGCCAUCAUCAUAUCCUUGUUGUCGCUAUUUAAUGACAAGCACAGCAGGGAUAUUGCUCAAACUUCAUGUGUAGGUUCCCGUUGGUCCCUAGUUGUGUCAAUUUAAUUUAGACUGUUGAUGAGGUGGUUGGCACCAAAAUCCCACUGGGAUCUCUCUUGUUAUAUAUUGUUAUUAAAAGCUAAAAGGUAAUACAUAUUUAUUUAUAUAUUGAUGCAUUCAAAAUGCUGCCGUAACUACCAGCUCCCCCUCGAGUUCAUUGAAGAACAGCAAAACCCAUGUGAGCUAGCUUGGGUUCUAAAACUUUUUGAUUUAGCUCUUUGAUUGAAGUCUGAAUGCAUACAACUAAAUAGAACUCAAAGUCAUGUGUAUGAAGUAUCUUUUUUCUAACAUUAUCUUUGGCCUUUGACUACUGCCUCUGAAGCUUUAUGUAGAAUUUCGUACAAGCAGUACAUGAUAAAGUCUUUUAAGAGUGACCGUCUAAUCAGGAAACAGUGACAUUGACCUCUGACCUUAGCACUUGAUUGAAGGAAACACGGGAUAAAGUCAACACAUGUGCAAUACAUACAUGUAUAUAUGUACUUAAGAUAUUGUGCAACAACCAAUCACCCGAAUCUAUGCUAAUGAGAAAAAACAACAUUUUAGGAAUUUGACUCCUGUGAUCUUGAAAGUACGUCAAGGUCGUUCAUUUCAACAGACUUGGUAUCACUUCAUUCAUCGAACUACAGACCAAAUAUCAGGACACUGUGCUUCUUGACUAUUCAAAAGAAUGUUUUAAAGAUUUACGCAUAUUUCACCAUUGUGGUUAUAACCAAUAUAGAUCAACAUCAAACUUGAUAACCUUUCACAGCAGCAUACUACAGGGCAAGUAUCAUGUCCCUUUACCUCUGGGUUAUUGCAAAGAAGCUUUUCAAGAUUUUAGCAUUUCUGGCCCCUGUGACCUUUCAUGAAGGUAAAGGUCAUUAAUUCAUUUAAAAAGCCUUGGUAGCCUUUCGGGCAGGUGAUCAAGUUAAAAUUAGACAGACAGACAGGCAGACAGACAGGGACCUCAUUACUUUAGGGCAUCUUAUGAUGUGAGACCAUUAAUAGAUAAUGUGCAUUUGAAUAUAGAAUCCCCUUUUUGGGUCCCACCCUCCACUUGGGAGCCAGCAGAGCACUACGAGAGAAACUCGGUUUUCUUCAACAGUUU